rnacentral:rRNA from 1 species
GCACAAGCAGAGGAGCGCGUUGGUUUAAUUCGACGGCAAUACGAACGAACCUUACCAGGGUUUGAAUGUAUCUGCAUGCCCUAUGAAAAUAGGGAGGCCUUCGAGGGUGAUACACAGGUGCUGCAUGGCCGCCGUCAGCUCGUGUCGUGAGAUGUAGGGUUAAGUCCCGAAACGAGCGCAACCCCUAUUCUAUGUUACAAGUGUCUUAGAAAACCGCCUCGGUAAACGAGGAGGAAGGUGGGGAUGACGUCUGGUCCGCAUAGCCCUUAUGUCCUGGGCUACACACGCGCUACAAUGGCCGAUACAGUAGGAAGCCAAAUCGUAAGAUGGAGCUAAUCCUUAAAGUCGGUCUCAGUUCGGAUUGAGGUCUGAAAUUCGACCUCAUGAAGUUGGAUUUGCUAGUAAUCGUAGAUCAGCAAUGCUACGGUGAAUACGUUCUCGGGUCUU